GGUACUGGGGCAAGUGUGUGGUGAUGGGCUGCAGGAUGUAGACCGGAGGGACUGCAUUUUCAUCCUUCCAGAACCACUGGGCCAGGAGGUUUAGUUUUGUCCCCACCUCUCCACUGGGGUUCCUGCCAGCAGCAAUGCCUAGCCAGUUCCCUGAGCCCUAGACAAGGGUGGAACUCAAUCUGUGAGGAGAUUGGCCAUUAUUGUGAUAAGGGUCAACCAGGCCUGAAGAGCCGUGCAGCAGAAGAUAAAGAACCAAGGUACUAAGAAGUCAAGUGAUUUGCCCAAGAACACACAAAUAAUAAACAUCGGGGAUAAGAACUGAACUCAGGUCCUCUAAUUCUAGAGCCAUUGAUCUUUCCACUGUAUCACACUAUUACUUUGGGUAUUAUAU